rnacentral:misc_RNA from 1 species
AAGUCGUAACAAGGUUUCCGUAGGUGAACCUGCGGAAGGAUCAUUAGAGUGGUGAGGCUGCACAAGCAGCCGCACAAGAAGCGUGUGCAGCAGCAGCAGCAGCAGCAGCGGCACACGUGAUGGCCAGUGUUGAGUAUGUCGUUGUAUGUGGCAGUGUCAUGUGAUGCGUGUCGUGAGUGUCGCGCAUGUCACAUGCCUGCCAGUCAAUAUAUCAACCAUCAUUACAAUCAUGACCGAGUCACUCCAUAACAUCAAUACAACUGUUGGCAACGGAUCACUCGGCUCUC